rnacentral:rRNA from 1 species
GAUGAACGCUGGCGGCGUGCCUAAUACAUGCAAGUCGAGCGAACGGACGGGAAGCUUGCUUCUCUGAUGUUAGCGGCGGACGGGUGAGUAACACGUGGAUAACCUACCUAUAAGACUGGGAUAACUUCGGGAAACCGUAGCUAAUACCGGAUAAUAUUUUGAACCGCAUGGUUCAAAAGUGAAAGACGGUCUUGCUGUCACUUAUAGAUGGAUCCGCGCUGCAUUAGCUAGUUGGUAAGGUAACGGCUUACCAAGGCAACGAUGCAUAGCCGACCUGAGAGGGUGAUCGGCCACACUGGAACUGAGACACGGUCCAGACUCCUACGGGAGGCAGCAGUAGGGAAUCUUCCGCAAUGGGCGAAAGCCUGACGGAGCAACGCCGCGUGAGUGAUGAAGGUCUUCGGAUCGUAAAACUCUGUUAUUAGGGAAGAACAUAUGUGUAAGUAACUGUGCACAUCUUGACGGUACCUAAUCAGAAAGCCACGGCUAACUACGUG